UACGUAGGGUGCGAGCGUUGUCCGGAAUUACUGGGCGUAAAGAGCUCGUAGGUGGUUUGUCGCGUUGUCCGUGAAAACUCACAACUCAAUUGUGGGCGUGCGGGCGAUACGGGCAGACUUGAGUACUGCAGGGGAGACUGGAAUUCCUGGUGUAGCGGUGGAAUGCGCAGAUAUCAGGAGGAACACCGGUGGCGAAGGCGGGUCUCUGGGCCGAUACUGACGCUGAGGAGCGAAAGCGUGGGGAGCGAACAGG
rnacentral:rRNA from 1 species